GUGCUUAACACAUGCAAGUCGAACGGAAAGGCCCUUCGGGGUGCUCGAGUGGCGAACGGGUGAGUAACACGUGGGUGAUCUGCCCUGCACUUUGGGAUAAGCCUGGGAAACUGGGUCUAAUACCGAAUAGGACUCCGGACUGCAUGGUCUGGGGUGGAAAGCUUUUGCGGUGUGGGAUGGGCCCGCGGCCUAUCAGCUUGUUGGUGGGGUGAUGGCCUACCAAGGCGACGACGGGUAGCCGGCCUGAGAGGGUGACCGGCCACACUGGGACUGAGAUACGGCCCAGACUCCUACGGGAGGCAGCAGUGGGGAAUAUUGCACAAUGGGCGCAAGCCUGAUGCAGCGACGCCGCGUGAGGGAUGACGGCCUUCGGGUUGUAAACCUCUUUCAGCACAGACGAAGCGCGAGUGACGGUAUGUGCAGAAGAAGGACCGGCCAACUACGUGCCAGCAGCCGCGGUAAUACGUAGGGUCCGAGCGUUGUCCGGAAUUACUGGGCGUAAAGAGCUCGUAGGUGGUUUGUCGCGUUGUUCGUGAAAUC
rnacentral:rRNA from 1 species